GAUGAAUGCUAGCGGCGUGCCUAAUACAUGCAAGUCGAGCGAAUGGAUUAAGAGCUUGCUCUUAUGAAGUUAGCGGCGGACGGGUGAGUAACACGUGGGUAACCUGCCCAUAAGACUGGGAUAACUCCGGGAAACCGGGGAUAAUACCGGAUAACAUUUUGAACCGCAUGGUUCGAAAUUGAAAGGCGGCUUCGGCUGUCACUUAUGGAUGGACCCGCGUCGCAUUAGCUAGUUGGUGAGGUAACGGCUCACCAAGGCAACGAUGCGUAGCCGACCUGAGAGGGUGAUCGGCCACACUGGGACUGAGACACGGCCCAGACUCCUACGGGAGGCAGCAGUAGGGAAUCUUCCGCAAUGGACGAAAGUCUGACGGAGCAACGCCGCGUGAGUGAUGAAGGCUUUCGGGUCGUAAAACUCUGUUGUUAGGGAAGAACAAGUGCUAGUUGAAUAAGCUGGCACCUUGACGGUACCUAACCAGAAAGCCACGGCUAACUACGUGCCAGCAGCCGCCGUAA
rnacentral:rRNA from 1 species